rnacentral:rRNA from 1 species
CCUACGGGAGGCAGCAGUGGGGAAUAUUGCACAAUGGGCGCAAGCCUGAUGCAGCGACGCCGCGUGAGGGAUGACGGCCUUCGGGUUGUAAACCUCUUUCAGUAGGGAAGAAGCGAGAGUGACGGUACCUGCAGAAGAAGCGCCGGCUAACUACGUGCCAGCAGCCGCGGUAAUACGUAGGGCGCAAGCGUUAUCCGGAUUUAUUGGGCGUAAAGAGCUCGUAGGCGGUUUGUCGCGUCUGCCGUGAAAGUCCGAGGCUCAACCUCGGAUCUGCGGUGGGUACGGGCAGACUAGAGUGAUGUAGGGGAGACUGGAAUUCCUGGUGUAGCGGUGAAAUGCGCAGAUAUCAGGAGGAACACCGAUGGCGAAGGCAGGUCUCUGGGCAUUUACUGACGCUGAGGAGCGAAAGCAUGGGGAGCGAACAGGAUUAGAUACCCUGGUAGUCCAUGCCGUAAACGUUGGGCACUAGGUGUGGGGGACAUUCCACGUUUUCCGCGCCGUAGCUAACGCAUUAAGUGCCCCGCCUGGGGAGUACGGCCGCAAGGCUAAAACGUUAAAUGAAUUGACGG